GAUGAACGCUUGCGGCAGGCUUAAUACAUGCAAGUCGAACGAGUGGCGGAUGGGUGAGUAACGCGUAUGCAACCUUCCUCACACCGAGAAAAAGUCGACUGAAAAGUUGAAUAAAGUCUCGUGAUGAUAGUUGGUGUGAGAUGGGCAUGCGUAUCAUUAGCUAGUUGGUAGGGUAACGGCUUACCAAGGCGACGAUGAUUAGGGGGCCUGAGAGGGUGGUCCCCCACACUGGGACUGAGACACGGCCCAGACUCCUACGGGAGGCAGCAGUAGGGAAUAUUGGUCAAUGGGCGGAAGCCUGAACCAGCCAUGCCGCGUGAUGGAUGACGGCCUUAGGGUUGUAAACAUCUUUUCUGCUAGAGGACGACUGUAUAGCAGGAAUAAGGAUCGGCUAACUCCGUGCCAGCAGCCGCGGUAAUACGGAGGAUUCGAGCGUUAUCCGGAUUUACUGGGUUUAAAGGGUGCGCAGGCGGGCUCUUAAGUCAGCGGUGAAAUGUCUGGGCUUACCCUAGGAAUUGCCGUUGAUACUGGGAGUCUUGGAUAAGAUAAGGACGGCGGAAUGCGUAGUGUAGCGGUGAAAUGCUUAGAUAUUACGUAGAAGACCAAUUGCGAAGGCAGCUAUCUGGGUCUAUCGACGCUCAAGCACGAAAGCGUGGGGAGCAAACAGGAUUAGAUACCCUGGUAGUCCACGCCGUAAACGAUGAUCACUCGCUCUUGGCGUGUCAGGGGCCAAGCGAAAGCGUUAAGUGAUCCACCUGGGGAGUACGGCCGCAAGGCUGAAACUCAAAGGAAUUGACGGGGGCCCGCACAAGCGGAGGAACAUGUGGUUUAAUUCGAUGAUACGCGAGGAACCUUACCUGGGCUAGAACGGUCGAGGUGCUGCAUGGUUGUCGUCAGCUCGUGCCGUGAGGUGUCGGGUUAAGUCCCAUAACGAGCGCAACCCUUAUCGUCAGUUACCAUCAAUUGGGGACUCUGGCGAGACUGCCGGUGCAAACCGGAGGAAGGUGGGGAUGACGUCAAAUCAGCACGGCCCUUACGUCCAGGGCGACACACGUGUUACAAUGGGUAGCAGAGAGUUGCCAGCCAGCGAUGGUGAGCUAAUCUAUUCUACCCUCAGUUCGGAUGGAGUCUGCAACUCGACUCCAGAAGCUGGAUUCGCUAGUAAUCGCGCAUCAGCCAUGGCGCGGUGAAUACGUUCCCGGGCCUUGUACACACCGCCCGUCAAGCCAUGAAAGUCGUGGGUGCCUGAAGUUCGUAGCGACCUAAGG
rnacentral:rRNA from 1 species